CGUCCCUCAGUAGUGUUCCACGACAAGCUAAUGUUUAACUGUUACUUUGAACAUAGAAGUAGAGAAAAUGGAAUGCCAACUUCAAAUCUCGCAGGCCGAGCUUGUGACCCCGAGAGUUGGGCGAGAGUUGGGGAGUUUCACUUCCGGUUUCCAUGCCGCUGCAUUCAACUCACGCUUUACAUGUUUCAAUAACUACUAUUCAUAGCGACUAAAGCUAGUUUUUACGAUUAUGUGAUUCGAUAUGGCGUAUACGGGAGUCUGGACAUCUAACUGCAGUUUUUAUGGUGUGAAAACGGAAUCAUUAAAAACCAAAGCGCUUUAUUUGGUGCGUGUGACAGAGUGUAUUAACGAAGAUAACACGGAAUAUAAUUUAGCAAUGGUGUCAGAAAGGAGUUUCUGUUGUGAUGUUUUAUGCAGUGCCUCUUCACAGAAGUGCAAGGGUCUUUCUUUUCACAGCUUGCUUAAGGGGUGUCUGAGGUUUCAGACGAAUGGAGAAGUCAGCUGAUCCACAGCCUCAACAGAUGUGACGGCUACUUCAAUCCAGAGGAAGCCAAGAUCUGUUCCAGACUUUUUUAAGCAGAUCGUUUCAUUAAACUUUGCUGACUACAAAAACCACCAUUCACUAUUAGGGCUGAUGAAAUGUGCAUCCAGGACUUUACUGAAGAUAGCAAGUGUCAACCAGACUGAGUUGGUGAUCUUCUGCUAUAAUGGCUGUCAUUCUGGUUGUAGCAGUGAAGAAAGCUGACUGGGAUGCCUCUCUGUUCAGCCUGGAGACCUUGGACUUCUUUACCAAACAGGGAGAUAUGCAUUGUCUCAAAAGUUUGCGAAUAUCUGAAACUAAAUUAGAACUGUGUGUUAGUCAUGCACAUUUUUAAAGUACUAAUGGCAGAGUACAACUAAUUCUGUCUGACUCCAGCUUUUGAUGUAUCCAAGAAUAUUGCUGUUUGAGAAAUCCGUUUCAAUACUAGGUCUUUAUUUUUAACUAUGACUAUGUGAAACAUUGGUUUUUAAAUGCAUAUUAUAGAAUAACCCAUAGUAUAUAUGAAUAAUAGCUGUGAAUAAACUGAGUAUGUAGGCAAGGAAAAGUUACCAUUAUUAUAAACAAGUUGAAAUACUAUUGUGAUAAAGUUCAACCCCAUCUAGCAUUUACACCUUUUAAUAAAAUAAUUGCACCAAUA